rnacentral:rRNA from 1 species
GACGAACGCUGGCGGCGUGCCUAAUACAUGCAAGUAGAACGCACAGUAUAUACCGUAGCUUGCUACACCAUAGACUGUGAGUUGCGAACGGGUGAGUAACGCGUAGGUAACCUGCCUGGUAGCGGGGGAUAACUAUUGGAAACGAUAGCUAAUACCGCAUAAUAUUAAUUAUUGCAUGAUAAUUGAUUGAAAGAUGCAACUGCAUCACUACCAGAUGGACCUGCGUUGUAUUAGCUAGUAGGUGAGGUAACGGCUCACCUAGGCGACGAUACAUAGCCGACCUGAGAGGGUGAUCGGCCACACUGGGACUGAGACACGGCCCAGACUCCUACGGGAGGCAGCAGUAGGGAAUCUUCGGCAGCGGACGAAAGUCUGACCGAGCAACGCCGCGUGAGUGAAGAAGGUUUUCGGAUCGUAAAGCUCUGUUGUAAGAGAAGAACGGGUGUGAGAGUGGAAAGUUCACACUGUGACGGUAUCUUACCAGAAAGGGACGGCUAACUACGUGCCAGCAGCCGCGGUAAUACGUAGGUCCCGAGCGUUGUCCGGAUUUAUUGGGCGUAAAGCGAGCGCAGGCGGUUAGAUAAGUCUGAAGUUAAAGGCUGUGGCUUAACCAUAGUACGCUUUGGAAACUGUUUAACUUGAGUGCAGAAGGGGAGGGUGGAAUUCCAUGUGUAGCGGUGAAAUGCGUAGAUAUAUGGAGGAACACCGGUGGCGAAAGCGGCUCUCUGGUCUGUAACUGACGCUGAGGCUCGAAAGCGUGGGGAGCGAACAGG